GACCACGUGCGCGUCCUGGGCUGCCGGUUCUUAGGUGUGCAGGAGCCACCAUAGUGCCGGCACGUCAUUGGUGUCAAGUAAAUGCUGGCUGUUACGGUUAGGGGCAAGAAGCACAAGCAAGCAAGGCACAGAGGGUGGCUGUGGGGGCAGAGAAAGUGCUGGAGCGCUGAGGGCGGCCAGAGGAGGAAGUGCCUUUGUGCCUUUGAACUUGAGUAACCUUCCUAGAGCCUGGCUGGGCGGUGGCUUCAUCUCAUUCCCCGCACUGAAGUGAAACCUCUGUCUUUGUAUCACUUUUGUCUCUUCCAGGGUGCCCAGCGAGCUCUACGUGCUGCUGUGGACCACUGACUUAACUCUUGGGCCUCAGUUUCCCCAACUGUGAAAUGAACACCAUCAAAGCGUUGCUCAUCCCAUUUAGUCAUAGAAAUCUCUUGAGACCCCUACUGUUGCCCAACAGACUGGGAACCGGAGGCGCAGCAGGAGGAAGUAACGUCCAAGUGGGUGAACACAGGUUCCAGGAUUUCUGCCCAAGAGGUCGACAGGCAUAGUCUGGCUGCCCUCACACACUCACACACACACACAUACACACAUGCACACACGCACACCACACACACGCACACACACACACACGCACACACACGCCGUCUCCAGUUGUGUUUUCUUUGGAUCCCUGCAUGGCUUGGAGAAGCUGCGUCAGCCCACCUCCUCUGCUGACCCAAGGCCCGCGCAGCUACCCCUGGGGAAGCGGCCCCUCCUCGUGCAGCCUGAUGUGUCAGCAGUGUGGCUCCUGUGCCUGUGCCAGCAAGUGCGGCUGUGCUGGGAGACACAGCAGGAACAAGCAGUGGAGGUGGGAGGGGACAGAUGUCAGAGCAGCAAGGGCUGAUGACAUUGCCCCAAACAGGCAAGUGGCCAUCUGUUUCCAGGAUGCAGCUGGACAAAAUCGUCCCCGUGGGGUUGGCCCCUUACCAGCCCCGGGACUUCAGCGAUCGGCCAGGACAGAGCUGGUGGCUGACCGCCUGCCUUCCAGAGCUUGGAGGCCUGGUCCUCGGGAAUUUUGGGGCUGGCGCUGUAGCGCUGUGUUGCAGCAGGUUAAUCCCCUGGCUGCAGUGCCAGCAUCCCACAUGGGUGCCAGUUCGAGUCCCGGCUGCUCCUCUUCCAAUCCAGCUCCCUGCUAUGGCCUGGGAAAGCAGUAGAAGAUGGCCUAAGUCCUUGGGCUCCUGCACCCACGUGGGAGACCCAGAAGAAGCUCCUGGCUACUGGCUUCAGACCUGCUGAGCUCCAGCCAUCGUAGCCAUCUGGGGAGUAAACCAACGGAAGGAAGACCUCUCUCUCUGUCUCUCCCUCUCACUGUCUGUAACUCUACCUCUCAAAUAAAUGAUAAAUCUUUAAAAAAUUA